rnacentral:rRNA from 1 species
AUUGGACGCUGUCGGCAGGCCUAACACAUUCAAGUCGAACGAGUGGCGGACGGGUGAGUAAUGUCUGGGAAACUGCCUGAUGGAGGGGGAUAACUACUGGAAACGGUAGCUAAUACCGCAUACCAUCAGAUGUGCCCAGAUGGGAUUAGCUAGUUGGUGGGGUAACGGCUCACCAAGGCGACGAUCCCUAGCUGGUCUGAGAGGAUGAACAGCCACACUGGAACGUAGACACGGUCCAGACUCCAACGUGAGGCAGCAGUGGGGAAGAUUGCACAAGGGGCGAAAGCCGGAUGCAGCCAUGCCGCGUGUAUGAAGAAGGCCUUCGGGGUGUAAAGUACGUUCAGCGGGGAGGCGUUACCCGCAGAAGAAGCACCGGCUAACUCCGUGCCAGCAGCCGCGGUAAUUC